ensembl:lncRNA
AGAUUAUCUUCUUGGGUCCGGGAGUCGCUGCCACCUACAGGCCUCAUGUGCAAAGACGCUUGAGCUCUUAGAGGUUCCCUGGGCAGAAAGCUUGCUAAAGACUUUAAUGCCUGCACCAUAAUCCUGCCGGAGGAAACCCAUGAAGCUCCGAAUGUCCCUGUGUUUCAGAACUGUGCCGGACUCUUCUCCGCCAAGUAAUUGAUGAGGAAGCUGAGCAGAGACCUGUAUGUCCCACCUAGUACCAGCAGCACCACCUUCCCUCCUGUUCAUGCCACAGAACUGUUGCUUGGCUUUGAAUCAUGACCCUGCCUUUCACUGGCUAUGAGACCUCGGACACGGUGUAAUUACAGCAAACACGCAUUGGCGGCGAGCAGCAAUCAUGAGACAACUGUUGAGGAUUUCAGAUGCGCUUGGCGGUGGCUCCUGGAGCGCAGCGCGAGGAACCGCAGCUCCAGUUGGCCCGUGCUGGCCCGAAAACAAGGGAUUUGCAGAAGUCGGGAGCGGUGUGUUGGCACGGUGUCCACGCCAUGUCGUUCAUCAGCUAUUUCCUUGAUAGCGGGUUGCGUCUUACCACCAAGCCAACCGACUGACUCAUGAGUCAGUGACUUAAAAAAUAAAUAAAUACUUGAGGCCAGCUGUGCCCGCCGAGCAAAACCUGUCAGGCUGCAGACAAAGUGGGCCCCUGCCACUUUCCCGGGUGGUUUCAUUUUUCCUCUUUUUGUCUUCUUGUUUGAAAACUAUGAAAGUGAAACCGCACACCUCCCCCUGAAAGCUGCUGUGUUCCCACGGCUGGAGGAGGUGGGUGGGGGCGAGUCUCCCGCUAGCAUCAGCAUUGCCCUUCCGCAGGCCCCAGGGUCCGGCCACGCGGCUGGAACCCAGGCCCUACUGUGCCUGGCUCUGAGCGAAGGCCUGCACAGGGAAGUGGCCAAAACCCGCUGUUAGGUGGCUACAGUACAUGGCCAAGAACCCACACAGGUGUAGCUAGAUUCGUCCUCCCAACAGGUGAUGAGGAAAAUAGUGAUGUGUGUGGGAAGUGUGUUAGUCACUCAGUCACGUCCGACUCUUUAUGACCCAAUGGACCAUAGCCCUCCAGGCACCUCUUUCCAUGGGGUUUUCCUGGCAAAAGUACUGGAG